rnacentral:rRNA from 1 species
GCAGCUGAUCCAGCAAUGCGCUGAGUGAGAAGCUCGGUGUAAGCUCUUUGUCAGGAGAAACGGUGGGCUAUAUCCUCAUCUAAUGACGUACUGAAGAUAAGCACGGCUAACUACGUGCCAGCAGCCGCGGUAAUACGUAGGGUGCAAGCGUUAAUCGGAAUUACUGGGCGUAAAGCGUGCGCAGGCGGUUUUGUAAGUCUGUCGUGAAAUCCCCGGGCUCAACCUGGGAAUGGCGAUGGAGACUGCAAGGGCUAGAAUCUGGCAGAGGGGGGUAGAAUUCCACGUGUAGCAGUGAAAUGCGUAGAGAUGUGGAGGAACACCGAUGGCGAAGGCAGCCCCCUGGGUCAAGAUUGACGCUCAUGCACGAAAGCGUGGGGAGCAAACAGGAUUAGAUACCCUGGUAGUCCACGCCCUAAACGAUGUCUACUAGUUGUCGGGUUUUAAUUAACUUGGUAACGCAGCUAACGCGUGAAGUAGACCGCCUGGGGAGUACGGUCGCAAGAUUAAAACUCAAAGGAAUUGACGGGGACCCGCACAAGCGGUGGAUGAUGUGGAUUAAUUCGAUGCAACGCGAAAAACCUUACCUACCCUUGACAUGUACGGAAGCCACGAGAGAUCGAGGUGUGCUCGAAAGAGAACCGUAACACAGGUGCUGCAUGGCUGUCGUCAGCUCGUGUCGUGAGAUGUUGGGUUAAGUCCCGCAACGAGCGCAACCCUUGUCAUUAGUUGCUACGAAAGGGCACUCUAAUGAGACUGCCGGUGACAAACCGGAGGAAGGUGGGGAUGACGUCAAGUCCUCAUGGCCCUUAUGGGUAGGGCUUCACACGUCAUACAAUGGUACAUACAGAGCGCCGCCAACCCGCGAGGGGGAGCUAAUCGCAGAAAGUGUAUCGUAGUCCGGAUUGUAGUCUGCAACUCGACUGCAUGAAGUUGGAAUCGCUAGUAAUCGCGGAUCAGCAUGUCGCGGUGAAUACGUUCCCGGGUCUUGUACACACCGCCCGUCACACCAUGGGAGCGGGUUUUACCAGAAGUAGGUAGCUUAACCGUAAGGAGGGCGCUACCACGGUAGAUUUGGUUG